GAUGAACGCUGGCGGUGUGCCUAAUACAUGCAAGUCGAACGCGCAGCGAAAGGUGCUUGCACCUUUCAAGCGAGUGGCGAACGGGUGAGUAACACGUGGAUAACCUGCCUCAAGGCUGGGGAUAACAUUUGGAAACAGAUGCUAAUACCGAAUAAAACUUAGUAUCGCAUGAUACAAAGUUAAAAGGCGCUACGGCGUCACCUAGAGCUGGAUCCGCGGUGCAUUAGUUAGUUGGUGGGGUAAAGGCUUACCAAGACGAUGAUGCAUAGCCGAGUUGAGAGACUGAUCGGCCACAUUGGGACUGAGACACGGCCCAAACUCCUACGGGAGGCUGCAGUAGGGAAUCUUCCACAAUGGGCGCAAGCCUGAUGGAGCAACGCCGCGUGUGUGAUGAAGGCUUUCGGGUCGUAAAGCACUGUUGUAUGGGAAGAAAUGCUAAAAUAGGGAAUGAUUUUAGUUUGACGGUACCAUACCAGAAAGGGACGGCUAAAUACGUGCCAGCCGCCGCGGUAA
rnacentral:rRNA from 1 species